GAUGAAGAACGCAGCGAAAUGCGAUAAGUAAUGUGAAUUGCAGAAUUCAGUGAAUCAUCGAAUCUUUGAACGCACAUUGCGCCCGCCAGUAUUCUGGCGGGCAUGCCUGUUCGAGCGUCAUUACAACCCUCAGGCCCCCGGGCCUGGCGUUGGGGAUCGGCGGAAGCCCCCUGUGGGCACACGCCGUCCCUCAAAUACAGUGGCGGUCCCGCCGCAGCUUCCAUUGCGUAGUAGCUAACACCUCGCAACUGGAGAGCGGCGCGGCCAUGCCGUAAAACACCCAACUUCUGAAAGUUGACCUCGAAUCAGGUAGGAAUACCCGCUGAACUUAAGCAUAUCAAUAAGCGGAGGA
rnacentral:misc_RNA from 1 species